GAUGAACGCUGGCGGCGUGCCUAAUACAUGCAAGUAGAACGCUGAAGGAGGAGCUUGCUCUUCUGGAUGAGUUGCGAACGGGUGAGUAACGCGUAGGUAACCUGCCUGGUAGCGGGGGAUAACUAUUGGAAACGAUAGCUAAUACCGCAUGACAACAGUUAUUGCAUGAUAACUGUUUAAAAGGGGCAACUGCUCCACUACCAGAUGGACCUGCGUUGUAUUAGCUAGUUGGUGAGGUAACGGCUCACCAAGGCGACGAUACAUAGCCGACCUGAGAGGGUGAUCGGCCACACUGGGACGGAGACACGGCCCAGACUCCUACGGGAGGCAGCAGGAGGGAAUCUUCGGCAAUGGACGGAAGUCUGACCGAGCAACGCCGCGGGAGUGAAGAAGGUUUUCGGAUCGUAAAGCUCGGUUGUAAGAGAAGAACGAGUGUGAGAGUGGAAAGUUCACACUGUGACGGUAUCUUACCAGAAAGGGACGGCUAACUACGUG
rnacentral:rRNA from 1 species